GGGAGUUAAAAUGGAGAAGAAAAGAAAAGAAGUGGAAACUGCGAUUCGGUAGAAAGUUGGUGCAAAGUUUGAGUCUCUGCUUGUCAAAGUGGACUAAAAACCUCGUCAGGAUUCUACGAGCUGCUAUGAAACAAUAGGGAAACGUCCUCUCCAGGUGCUCGUCCUCCGCCUCGGCCCUGUGGACCACAAACAUCAAAACGUCACGAGUCCCGAAGGAGCUGUGUGUGUGUGUGUGUGUGGUGGUGUGUGUGUGUGUGUGGUGGGGGGAUGAAGUGGUGCCAUGGUGGAUUCGUGCCAGGGGCCACACUCUGACCUUUCACCCUUCCUGGCACCACGGAUCUGGAAGAGAUCCCACCCCCAAAGGUGGGGUCAGACCAACCGGAGUACCAGUGUGUGUGUGGGGGGGGACAAAAAA